rnacentral:rRNA from 1 species
GACGGGACCCGCACAAGCAGCGGAGCGUGUGGUUUAAUUCGAGGCUACACGAAGAACCUUACCAGGGUUUGACAUGCAAGUGGUAGGAAUCCGAAAGGUGACCGACCCUUCGGGGAGCUUGCACAGGUGCUGCAUGGCUGUCGUCAGCUCGUGUCGUGAGAUGUUCGGUUAAGUCCGCUAACGAGCGCAACCCUCGCUGUGUGUUACAAGUGUCACACAGGACCGCCGGUCUUAAGCCGGAGGAAGGUGGGGAUGACGUCAAGUCAGCAUGGCCUUUAUGUCCAGGGCUACACACACGCUACAAUGGUCAGCACAAUAGGUAGCCAAGCCGCGAGGUGGAGCCAAUCCUCAAAGUCUGUCUCAGUUCAGAUUGUAGGCUGCAACUCGCCUGCAUGAAGUCGGAGUUGCUAGUAAACGCAGGUCAGCUAUACUGCGUUGAAUACGUUCCCGGGGUUU